rnacentral:lncRNA from 1 species
UUUUUUUUUUGUGUGUGGGUGUGUGUUGGGGGUGGUGGAUAUCUAUACCUAUUUUUCUUCCUUAACAAUAAUAAAGCGCGUAGCGUUUCUGUCGUACGUCGUUGGUCAUUUUUGCAGAAAAGCCCUCGUAGUUUUAGGUAACUAACCCGCAGUCCAAUUUUAAGUCACAACGAACCGUUCUCUGUCAUUUUGCAGAAAAACCCUCAUAGUUUUAGAUAAUCAACCCGCAGUCCAUCUAUUAGUCACAGCCGAACCUUUUUUUCAUUUUUCAAAAAACUCCCGGAUGUUUCAGGUAAUCAACCCGCCCUCCCUAUUUGAGUCAGCCGAAACGUAUUUUUUUAACCAAAAUAAUCCGACUUUUCAGUUAAUCAAUUCAUAUUUUAUCUAAAACAAAAUUAUCCAUAUCUUUUAAACCGUAACUCGGAUCCACUCGAAGACCAGUCCCGAGUGACGUCUGCCUCGAGCACCUCCACCUUCCCUCAGUCAAAGAAGAUCCUUUUACAGAGGAACCAGUACAACCAAAGAGUUCAACAGAUCCGACUGAAGUCGAUGUACCUGCUGUGGUUGAUCUGGUCAUGGAGAUUCUUGUUGUCAUCCCCGAUUGGACUGUGUCGAUCAUUGCAUAUAUCCUGAGGCAGGAACUACCAGAAGACGAAGUCCAGGCCAGGCAGAUAGUCCGCAGGUCGAAGUCAUUCACUGUCAUUGAUGGCCAAUUGUACAAGGAAAGCGUUUCACGCGUUUUUCAACGAUGCAUCUCCCCAGAAGAGGGGCAGCUGAUCCUGGAAGAUAUUCACUCGGGAACCUGCGGUCAUCACGCUUCUUCGAGAGCAAUCGUCGCCAAGGCAUUCAGGGCUGGUUUCUUCUGGCUGCACGCAAACGAGAUGGCUAAAGAUAUGGUUGACCGAUGUGAGGGCUGCCAGUUCUACUCCAAUAAGUCCCACAAACCGACAUUUGCGUUGAAGACGAUCCCUCUUGUGUGGUCGUUUGCAGUGUGGGGAUUAGAUACAGUCGGUCCAUUCAAGACAGGCCAAGGUGGAUACACACAUCUGUUGGUGGCAGUCGACAAGUUCACGAAAUGGAUCGAAGCCAAGCCCAUCAAGAAGCUCGACGCCUCAACAGCCGUCAAGUUUGUCAGGGACAUCAUCUUCAGACGGUGUACCUCACAGCAUAAUCACGGACAACGGGACAAACUUUGAUUCGGACAGAUUCAAAGGUUUCUGUACAAGCCAAGGUAUCCGAGUGGACUUUGCUUCCGUGGCGCACCCGCAGUCCAAUGGACAAGCAGAGCGGGCGAACGGACUUAUUUUGCAAGGUUUGAAGCCCCGACUCCUGCGAGAGAUAGACAUGCCGCUGGCGCUUGGGUCACCGAGCUACCUUCAGUGCUUUGGGGUCUUCGCACAACCCCGAACAGAUCUACAGGGCGAUCACCGUUCUUCCUCGUCUACGGAGCAGAAGCAGUCCUUCCGAGUGACUUACUUCACAACGCUCCACGAGUCAAACUCUUCUCCGAAGCUGAAGCAGAACAAGCAAGGCAAGACGGAGUGGACCUUCUAGAGGAGGAGCGCGAGAUGGCACUGACUCGCUCAACCAUUUAUCAACAAGAUCUGCGGCGUUUUCACGCGCGACACGUCAGGAGUCGUAUGUUCCAAGCAGGCGACCUGGUGCUCCGAGUGGAUCAGCAAAGACCUCACAAGUUGGCUCCUGCCUGGGAAGGACCCUUCAUCAUCUCAAAGGUGCUGAACAAUGGAGCAUACAGACUCUACAACGUCAACAGGGAGAUAGACGAGCCGCGAGCAUGGAACGGAGAUCUCCUGAAGCGCUUCUACACGUGACUGUCGACUGAAGCAAUGUAAAGAACAAGUAUUGAUGAAAUAAUAUAAAGCAGAUUGAGAUUUUUGCAGGUUCAAAGUUCUUCCGCGGUCGCAGACUCCGGUCUGAAAAAAAACUUAGUUGCGAUCCAGAAUCGCCUAAGUAUGAACUUUCUCCAAGUGUGCACUUAACGUCACACUCGGGGACUUAGCUGCGAUCCAGAAUCGCCUAAGUAUGAACUUUCUCCGAGUGUGCACUUAACGUCGCACUCGGGGACUUAGCUGCGAUCCAGAAUCGCCUAAGUAUGAACUUCCUCCGAGUGUGCACUUAGCGCCCCACUCGAGGACUUAGCUGCGAUCCAGAAUCGCCUAAGUUUUCACUUCCUCCGAGUGUGCUCUUCACGCCACACUCAGAGACUACAUGAGUUGCAGACCCUCAUUGAGGCUCAUGUGGAUGUCAAAACAACUGACAACUACAUGAGUUGCAGACCCUCAUUGAGGCUCAUGUGGAUGUCAAAACAACUGACAACUACACGAGUUGCAGACCCUCAUUGAGGCUCAUGUGGAGGUCAUAACAACUGACAUUUACAUGAGUUGCAGACCCUCAUUGAGGUUCAUGUGGAUGUCAAAACAACUGACAACUACAUGAGUUGCAGACCCUUAUUGAGACUCAUGUGGAUGUCAAAACAACUGACAACUACAUCAGUACCAACUCGCCCCGAGUGCGACCUGAUAGUCGCACUCGACAACCUAGCUGCGAUCCCGCAUCGCCCAAGUACUCUUCAACCUCCGAGUACGCCCUACCGACCCACUCGGCGAUCCUACCGAUCCACUCCGUGACAAUACAGAUCCAAUCGGAAAUUCCUCGGACCCUCAAUGAGGUUCAUCCAGAUGUCAAGACAACUGACAUGUUCCGAAUGUUUGCCCCUGGCUUCACCAAGAAACGCCAAACAAAAACUCGAGUCAAAAUUGCAACAGAAGAGCAAAGGAUUCGAUGUCAAGUUCAACCACAGAUAAUGGCUCGGUGUGGAUCAAGCUUACCCACACCGAAACGAGAAUGUAACGGACAACAGCAGUGGCCAAAGUUUCUUACAAAGCAACACUCGGCAUACCGAGGAUAAUGUUUUCUUAUGCGUUGUCUGGAUCGGCGCCAGGACUGGAGGGCUCCAUGAAGGUGUCCAGGUCGAUUCCGUCGGCGAUGCGGGUGGCACUUUCAAGGAAGGUUUCCAUGAAGUCUUCGAAUUGAAGUUUCUUCGUGUUGGCCACCUUCAACGUUCUCGGCUUCUCCUCGCGCACCUCCGUGCAAUGAACUCGGACCAAGGACAGAGCAACAUCUACACCACAACGAGCCGCAGAUUUCUUCCAUGACUGCACUCGGUCGGGGACCUCCUCCAGUCGACUCAGCAAGUUUUCCAUCUCCUGCCGCGACUCAUCUUCACGCCAAAGCUCCUUGUCGAUCCGGCCGACGAUUUCUCUCAGUCGACCGAUGAAAGGACUAACUUUGCCCACGCGGAUGUGCGCUCGGAGCAGAUCUCGGUUGGCAUCCUCGUCGAGUGGAACGUUCUCGAGAAUCGACUGCUCCACAUCAGCUGCUUCAGCUUCAGCGUCAAUGCAAAAAUCUGCGACAAGAGGACAAGCAAACAAUAAGCGCCGAGUGUGACGCGCAUAACACAAGCACUCAGAAAAAGCAGGACUUACCAGCCAAACGCGUCAUCAUCUGCCGAGCCCAGUUGCUGACAUAUUUCUCCUACGCUCUGCACCGUUUGUUCAGCACGUUCAUUUGCCCCAUCAGAGCACUCCUUUGUUUCCCCAUCUUUUCAACUUCCUCAGUCAGCAUUUUGUUCGCUUCACGAGCCUGCUCCAGUGACUUCUCUCUUUCCGCCAGAACCUCCUUCAUACCAGCCAUUGCAAGCAGGGCCGCAUCCAGCUCACUAGCAAAUUGCACCUUUUCUGCCCUGAGAGUCUCAUAUGCUGUCCCCAUCUCGCAAGUUUUCUGCCAGUCAGCGCCAAGCGACGAUCAGAUAAAUCCAACAAUACCAAGUCUAAGUUCUUCAGACCCCUGCCGACGCAAGCAGUCGACACCGGUCUCGGGAACUACACCCAGUGGGUUCACUGAGAGUGACCCCACUGGCAUGAAACUCAAAUAGGUCCGCCCUAUUGAGCUGCAUGACAACACCUAAGCCUAUGAAGCUAAUACUACCCCACCCGAGUAAAUUUACUCUCGGGGACUCUUACAGUAAGUGUACUCCGAGUACCCAACUGGUAGCAGUCGACUAUAUUAUCCACGAAUAUGAACAAGUCAAAGACAAUAUGUAUAAAGACAACUGCCGGUGCAAGCACUCGACAGAAGUCUCGGGGACUACACCCACUGGGUUCACUCAGAGUGAACCCAUUGCAAACAUCAUCCGAUAUCCGAGAACACCCAGUGGGUUACAAGAGAAAAGUAAAUACUUACUAGCCCACUUACUCGGAUAUCUUCCCACAGCUCCAAACUCCGCUGGUACAGGGAUGCGAUGGAGUCGUAUGCCCUCUUGGCUUCUCCCGCCAUCAGCUCCGCCUGCACCUUGGCCCCCUUGGCCGCUCCCACUUGCUCCUCCGGGAGACACUGGAUGUUGAACUCGACAUUCGACGAGCCUGGCAUCGUUGGAAGUCCCUGGGACAUCCCAAGACCCGCUCCAGUAGGUUCAUCAGCCACCAGCGUCGUUUCAGUCGGCGUCAUCGCCUCGGUCGGCAGCACGUCUGCGGCGAGAGCAGUGACUGGAGGGGCAGCCUCGAGAACAGGCUCCGCGGCUUGCUCAGGUCUCCCCUGGUCACCCUCGUCCACGCAAAUCGCCCCUGAUAGACCGAACGGCACGAGAUCUCAGAAAAAGAAAGAGGCCAGACUUAAGAUAGAAUUCGCGUCGCGAUAGCAUAACACUCUUGGAGUCACUACAACGCACCUGACUGGGACGAGACGACGUUGUCCGCGUCCAUGGGAUCAUCCUCCUAGCGCGCCGGAGAGGUGACAACCCUGUCGAGUGAAAUUCAUUCGACCUUCAAACAGGAGUUCAACCGAAUAUCAUGAGAAGUUGGAGGAACAGAGCACUUACGUCAAGGUGACAGGAACGACGACCCUUAUCCGCGGCAAAGCCUUCCGAGGUUUAGACCCACUCGGUUUGGCCGCCUUGGAAGGUUGACGCACGGGCUCGACAGCAGCGCCCCUGGCCCUCUUGGUGCUCCGAGCACUCGGAACCACGGGAGCAGCAGGCGGAACACUCGAGGAUGCCGGAAGAGCCGAAGGAACCGCAGGUUCAUGUCGGCACUUGGUCCGGUGCUCUGGCAGCGGAGGCGGCGAGUCCUGCUCCUCGUCAUCCUCCUCUUCUUCACCAGACUCCUCCUCCGUCUCCCCACUGCCGGAGACAUACUCGCCGCUCUCCACACUGCCUUCCUGGCUGCCUUCUUCCUCCUCCUGUCUGGGUCCCCGUUCGAGACAGGAGAAAACCAGUUGGUCCACUUCUGCGUGAAAUACAGUCGGCGACAUCAAGCGACAAGCAGAGAUUCAAGAAAGCGAUAAAACUAAAACAGAUAUGUGCACUCGACACAUGGUACUCACCUGAUUCGGAGGAGGAUUGUCCGCGCUGAAAGCCCUCACUCGCCGAGACCCUCUGGGGUUCUCGCGGGCGCCUGUGAUCUGGAGCACCCACGACGCCACCUUCUCCUCGGUCACGCUCAAGACGUUAGUCCGAGUGGAGUCCUCGGUCCCCGAGUAGUGCCACAUGGCGUGGUGACGAGCCUGCAGUGGUUGUAUGCGCCGACCAAGGAAAGUCUCCAGCAAAUCCAUGCCGGUGACUCCCCUCCUGACGACGUCUACGAGUGCGUCGACCAAGGGCUGGAUGUCGAGCUUCUCCGCCUUCGUGAGCGCGAGCUGCUUAGGUGGAGCGGGACGAUCAAGGCUAAAAGGGGGCAACCCUGAAGAGGCGUUCGAACAGGCAACGUCUUGGCAGUAGAACCAUGUCGACUGCCAGUUCCUGACCGACUCGCUCAGCCGAAGAGCAGGAUAACUACUCCGACUCUUUUUCUGGAAACCUAAACCUCCGCAGAGUUGGAGAAGAUGCGUUUUAUCAUCCGACUGGCUAAGUCGUUUGAUAGUCUGAGAUCUAGCAGAGAAUAUAUGUUUGAACAACCCCCAAUGGGGGGGGCAGCCGAUGAAACACUCGCACAUAACGAUGAAAGCAGAGAGAUGGGCAAUAGCAUUCGGAGGAAAGUGGUGAAGCUGUGCCCCGAAGUGGUUCAUGAUGCCCUUAAAGAAAGGAUGCGGGGGCAGGGAGAAACCUCGGUAGACAUGGCUGAGCAGCAAGACGCGCUCCCCCUCCCGGGGUGCCGGCUCGACCUCGUUCUCAGCCGGCAGCCUCCAAGACUUGUGGACGAUCAUCCCGUCCUCCACCAGUUGCAGCAGAUCCCCCUCCGUCACCGUAGAGGGGAGGAAGUCGCCUUGAAUCCACCCCGCCGGCAACGGUCGCUGCCGCCGCUGAGCAGGAGCCGCCGCCUUCCCCUUCUUCUUCCUCGCCUCCAUCUUGCUGGUUUGACCCUUGGUCAUGGCGGAAGUUGCGAGUUCGCGGAGAGAGAGGAGGAGUGGGGAGGUUAGGUGCGCUGGAGGAGGCGAGGAUGACGAAGCAACGGCAAAAGAUCCGGCGGGCGUAACGAAAAACCCUUGCCCCGGGAUUUAAGUAAGGUUCCAACUGGGUCGCUGGCAGGUGGCCCCGAAACCUUAUCCCCCGACCGGCCGCGGCGAUAUCAGUGGAGGAGUUGAAGGCGCGAGAAUCGAGGCGUCAGACGCUAAUCGAGCACGCUGGCGUCAUCCCCGCUGAGCGCGCGGAAACCGAAAUUUGAAGAUCCCGGAAAAUCCGCUGCUGUCAGUUGACGGGUCGCGUCAAGAGAUACCCUGAAUACACUCGGUUUCCGACAGUUUGUUCCACGGAGAUUUCCACUCGGAUCGUUGGUCAGAAAAGAUAAAAUGGAUCGAGGCAAGCAACACCCAAGCCAAGUCCGCUCCAGUCGGAUCCAAACUUCAAACAUCGCUUCGUCGUUCCAACCCCAAUCCAUUCGGGGACUAAUGAUGGGGUUAUAGUCCUAGGGUAGGGUCAUAGGCCUGCCCUGUAGGUCCUACCCAAGGACUACCCCUCACAAAGGACAAGGCCCUUAGUCAGCUCCGACUGAAUUAAGGAGUCCCCAUCGUCGAGUCGGUAACAGGUCCUCGAUCAUCCAGUCGGAGACUAGCAUUCGGAGGAUAUCAAGCUAACCGACUGGAUACCACUCGGUACAUCGUAACCCCCCUGGAGGGAAACGGUCGUACGUUUCCAGGUGCAUUUAUUAGUAUUUAUGGCGUACGUUACCUGUAACGUACGCAUUCAAUCGCCACUACUCCACCCCUGUACCGGAACCGUUGUGGAGGGCAGCGCACUCUAUAUAAGCCACCCUCCCCCGCUGGUAGAGGGGUUAGCAACUCAUUGUAUUCCAUAUUUCCACUCGACAACAAGCUCCCUGAGCACUGAGACGUAGGGCUAUUACCUCCACCGCACAGGGGCCUGAACUCAUACAACCUCGCCGUAGCUAAGGCUCUGCCCAUCCUUUUCGUACCCUACACAUCUACUGUCAGGCUUAUAACCACGACACCGAUGUUACUUGUCCGUUGACUAUUAACCUUAAGUGGUGGAGACUGCCUCCAAAAGGGCAAUUAGUUAGGACUUAGGAAUCUAGAUUUUCUGAAAUGGUUAGUUAUCUCUUUUUUUGGCCGGAAAAUGGCUCGUGGGACCACAUGCAUCAUGGAUAAAAACAGUAAAAUAGAAAAAUCUAUUGUGUCAAUUUUCAAUGUAAUAAAAAAUUGUAUUUCUUUUUCCAUUAAACAGAGUGCUUCAUCCAACUUUACGUAUAUUUUCUCUUCAUUAAUCUGUUUUGAUCCUCCCUAUCUUUACUUUUUUCACCGAUUUUUGCUAGAAACCAUAGUUAUUAUCUCACAUUUUGUUGGCCUAUAAAAUUUAUUGGUAAUCCAAUAUAAUUUACCAAAUAAAAUCUUAAAAAAUAAGAUAGGUAAUCAGGGGCAUGAUUUAAUAAACUUUUACCGAAUAAAAUUUUAAAAUUCAUCUAGGUAGGUAAUCACUGGUAUGAUUUGAUAAACGUUUAUUUACACAACCAUAUUAAUAUGAAUUCUAACUUACCGUUUGAUGUAUUAAAUUAUCGCGAACCGACUUAUAGUCUUCCUUGCCCGUCAGGAUUCAAGUCUCAAAUUUGACAUUGCUCCUCGCAUUUUUCUGCAUUUAUUUCAGAAUUUUCGACGGUUUUGAUAUAACUUUGCAGGCAUCCAAAGAGCAGCAUGUAAAAUACUACUAGAGUAUUAAUUCUAUUUAUUGAAUGUUCUGACAUUUUAGAAGUUACAUUUUUGCAACGGUAAAAUUAUCCGGCUUGUACGUUGAGUCCGUCCAUUUCAUCGUUUCACUGCUGAGAACGAAUAUGCGACUCCGAAUAUACGCUGGUGGAGCUGUAGCAUCCCAUCGUGGCACGGACCAGACACGCGCUGACGCACCGCAGGCCGCGGCUGCUGGAUCAAGCGUGCCAACCGGGCGACACGAGACAGCGCACAGCAGAAGCCAUGCAUCAGAAAGCCGGGCCACGAGACGAGACGAGACGAGAACCCUCCUGCAAGGCUGCAGCAACGUGGAAACGAGACGUGUUCACGUGCCGACCCCGGGGGAGCAUCGUGUCGGGAACCAACCAGGCACAGGCACCGCGCUCCGCCCGUUUUAUACGUAUUCGCCAAUGCCAGGGAGGUCGCAUCUAUCUAUCCAUCUAUCACUUGGCCACGCUCUUCUAUUCUAUAAACAAAGAAGAAACGGUCUUCCUUCCACAUGUGGCCGCUCGACGGUUUGAUCUGUACAACACCGAGUUGGGAGAUUAAUGGCGAGCCUGGCAGCGUGGCUGGUCGAAGACGAGCUGACAACGUGCGAGCCCGACCGACGCUUCGUGCGAGAGCGCGUCGAGGCACGGGGCACGACCACUACCGCCGACGAACGAGCCCUCGCCGUGCCGCCCGGAGUGCCGGCCAUGGUUUGUGACGCUUUGACCGACUGUUUCGUCCUGAAACCUUCAAGACCAUUUUACAAGUUACAACGCGUUGAGCUUGAGCCUGCUGAGGGCGCGAGACCUGCAACGUCGUGCGUGCGCGAGCCGCGAGCGAGGGGUCAAAUUGUCGCUGUUCUUUAUGCAGAAAGGAAUCGGACGUGGCUUGCCCACCGAGACCGGGGGGGGGGNCCCUCAUGUGUCGCCGGCUCCCUGGAAACUGAAUAUCUUUUCUGUUCCAUCCAGUCUAUCACAUGACGCCUCACAUCACAUGUCCCUCGCAUGAUCCCACGCGUUCAUCGCCAAUGCCACAUGAUUUCGUCACUAAUAUUUUUGCCCGCGCGCGUCCUCGCAUGAUAUUUUUGUUUGCCGUCACCGCUGCAUGCAACGGCACAUGAUAUUUUUUUUCUCAGGCUGACGGCGCGUCCUGCUAGGUCUUUGUGAAUGAGCGGCGGCUUGGCGUUGGCUGGGCAAGUGGAGAAGGCAGCGAAGAGGGCAUCCGCACCGCACCGACUCAUCAUCGACCGCAUUAUGCGUGUGCACUGCAGUACAGAGCGCACCGUGGAUCGGAGCUGUCGUGGCCCCCGCCGCCUGCACUGCACAGCCCAGCUCGACGCACCACUUGCCACCAGUUAAGUCAGGCUUGUCCCCUGCCGGCAGCGGGCAGAGUUGGCACGGCCUGGACCCGACAGCACGUGCCUUUCUCGUGCGAGUUCCGAAUGCCAUGGCCAGAGCUGUGACUUGUGUGUGGUUCGGUUAAGCGGUUGGCUGUACUGCUGCUGCUGACGUUACCGUCUCGCUUUUCACACGAAAUUCAUAGCGUUUCAGGUACCGAACCCGGAACCGAAAGGGAUCACUUCUCGUGGUUCGGUUCACGUUCACCUAGCUGGCGACUUCGGGGUCACACAAUCUGCAACUUCUUUGGACUUUGGGCAACGCGAAGGACGUGGAUUUCGUACGCGAUCAUCACAUAAGCCAAAAUUUCCGCUCGAUCCACGGACUUCUCAGCGCAACGCAAAGGACGUGGAUCUUUUUUCCUGAAAGAAUGUGGGAGGGUUGCUGUCAAGAACACGGCCAAGAAUUGCAGAUUUCGCAGUUCGUAACGCCAUGUAGGUUUCCAAAUCUGUGCCGAUAGAUGCAGGUAAGGCUGCGACCCGGGGGGCACAGUAUGCCACCAGUAGUAGAAGUACUAUAUACAAAUCCUGUCCAGACCCCGAGAACCGAAGCAAAACGUUUCCUAAAUUACGAUCGGAAGUUCGGAGCUGGUGGUGCGAGAUCAGAAGGUUGGGCUGAGGAUGUUGAGCAAGGAGACUCUGGUGUUGAUCAGGGCCCGGANNNNN